rnacentral:rRNA from 1 species
AUUGAACGCUGGCGGCAUGCUUUACACAUGCAAGUCGAACGGUAACAGGGAGCUUGCUCCGCUGACGAGUGGCGAACGGGUGAGUAAUAUAUCGGAACGUACCCAAGAGUGGGGGAUAACGUAGCGAAAGUUACGCUAAUACCGCAUACGAUCUAUGGAUGAAAGCAGGGGACCUUCGGGCCUUGUGCUUCUGGCGCGGCCGAUAUCUGAUUAGCUAGUUGGUGAGGUAAAGGCUCAGCAAGGCGACGAUCAGUAGCUGGUCUGAGAGGACGACCAGCCACACUGGAACUGAGACACGGUCCAGACUCCUACGGGAGGCAGCAGUGGGGAAUUUUGGACAAUGGGCGCAAGCCUGAUCCAGCAAUGCCGCGUGAGUGAAGAAGGCCUUCGGGUUGUAAAGCUCUUUUGUCAGGGAAGAAACGGUAGAGGCUAAUAUCCUUUGCUAAUGACGGUACCUGAAGAAUAAGCACCGGCUAACUACGUGCCAGCCGCCGCGGUAAUAC